UCAAAAAAAAAACCUGGGUUUCCGUGUCCAACGUUUGACUCUCCGUUUUAUAUGAUUUAUUUUUAUAAUUAGUAUUUUCAUUGUUGUUAGAUGAUAAAACAUGAUUAAUACUUUAUGUGUGACUUGUCUUUUUAAUUUUUUUCACAUUUUUUUAAAUAAGAUGAACGGUCAAACGUUGGACACGGAAAUCCAUG
rnacentral:pre_miRNA from 1 species